rnacentral:lncRNA from 1 species
CAGCCUAAGCAAAAUAUCUGACCAGAGGUCUCAUUUCUUAUGAUCUGAUCAGUUUGUUUCCUUUCCAGACAAAUCUCACAGGUACUUGUAGAUGAUUCACACUUUUCUUCCUUGAGUUCAUCUUGUCCUCCAUGUUCUUCUAGUAGCUGACCUGUGUCAGAUGCUUCCUUUUCUUUCACUUCAUUCUCUUCGAUCCUGGCAGUUUCUUGCACUCUGUAGCAAGAAAUGAUGGAAUGAAGAUAACCUUACUGAAAGGAAAAUAUGAGAUUUAUAUUUUGCAAUCAAGAUGCCAGUUAUGUACCUGUAUUUUUCAUCCUGAGUAUUUGAAGGACUUCCAUUCGAUUCACGGACAUUUUCAUGCUCCUCGUCUUUCUUGGAGCUCUUAAGAUCCCCUCCCUUACCUCUUUCUUCAAGAAUAAUCUUUAUUUGGCUGUCCUUGAAACUUGGUUCUUGAAAAUCCAUCUUAAGAAAAGGAUUGUUAAGAUCAGUCAAAAUAGCUGAAGGGACAUGCAGAUAAAGGAUUAAAAGGUACUGCCCUACUGCCAAGUAUCAGGUCAGGAAUAUUAAAGUAACUCAUCAUGAAUAAUUAACGUAGUUUCAUGGAUAGUGGUGAUUGUUUAACCGCAGAACUAUCAGUAAAAGAAAGUAAAAGGUCAAGGUUCGGAUUUACAUUAACCAAGACAUAAAGUACAGAAGCAUUUGGCAACUAUCACCUCUUCCAUGUUCUGUUUAUGCUGCAAUUUAAUUUUCUUUCUCAAAAUAUCAAUCUCCUUCCUUGCUUUUUUCAGGCUCUCCCUCAUUAUGCCAUUUGAUUUUUCAAGAAGUUCUCCAUGCCUUUGUUCUUCAGCUACCCUGUUGUUCAGCCAGAUAAUCUGGUGAUUGUCCUCACUCAUUUGCCGGAUCCGGUUCACAAUCAUCUCUUGGUAUGAUUUGAUAUCACAUUUCAGCUUGGGUUCACCUACAGACCAAUUUACACAACAUGUUAUUAUAUGAUCUGUUGGCAGAAUGAUUAUGUUAAAAAAAAAAAAUUCAUUUCAAGCAGACAAAACCUGUUGAAUACAUGUUGAAGAGAUACACGUCUUCUUUCUCGGCCAUGUAACCGUGAAGUUGGAGCUCCCCACUUCGUAGGAGGUAGAUUGGACUUUCAUUCCAAACAUUUCUACCUGUUCCUUGAUCUGCAAAAUGUCUAUCCAGGCGUUCUGCCUCUAAAUAGCCUCUUGUUGAGCCCUCAAAAAUCAAAAUACUCAUACCACAAUGUCCAUCCGAAUUGUAUGCUUGUUGAACCUUCUCGAUCGCAUCAUAUGAGCUGAACAAGUCAAGGAGUUCCUGAUCUGCUAUGCCACUCCGCUGAAAUUUAAUUUGAUACAAGCAAACACUUGAUUAGAUCAUAAUCAGAAAUAAUGUUUCAGUUACAAACACAAACGACCACUAACAUGAUUGUACCUUGUUGUUCUCAUCUUUUUUAAGGCUUGCUGUAUUCCUAACAACAACCAUAGGAGGCCAAACAAUCUCAUGAUCUUUGUUCUCAUCGUUUAGACCUUUCCAUUUGCUCAACACUUCACCAGCAGAACUUUCAGAAGUUCCCUUUUUGCUGAAGUUCGUUGUCAACAGAUGUGCGAGUUUCCGGUGGAGUUUACCCCCAUCUUCAGUGGCUUUGGCAUGUGAUAUCAGGGCCGGCAGGCCCUGGUACCAUUGGAUGGCACCAGAAACUUCUGUGCAUGCAGGACAGUAAAACUGCUCAAUAGGUUUAUUGACAUUCACAGGUGCCACUCCCUUGGACAAUCUGCUCUUGUUGCUAUCAUCCAUAGCUCCUCCGUUUCCAUUGCUGACCAGGAAUUCAGAAUUAAGAUUAAGUGGAAUGUCUGAAUUCUGAUCCACACCUUUAUCUUCCUGUGCUUUAGUAUUGGGACUCUGUGGAGUAACCUCCUGUUUUCCAGCAAUGCUUUCAUCUCUUUUCCUAUACUCUUCUUGUGCUGAAUUGAGACUAAUAAUUUUCGCCGCACCAUGACCAUGUGGUGCAGUUGCAGUCUUGGGAGUUGGAUUAUUAUUGCUGCCACUGUCAUCAGCAGUGAGAGAAUUGCCAGUGUCAUUUCUAGAACUCAUGUCGAAACUCAACUUUUUGUUGCGUGGCCAUUGAUUUUCUGACAAUUUCAUAGUUUUGCUGCACAGUUGUUGUAAGCAAAAAAUUAGUCAGAUUCUAAAACACAGCAGUUGAUGAAAAAAAAACUAAGUAAUUAAGUAAUGACAAACUUUUCUGUUUCGGAAAACAAAAAUUAAAAGAAAAUUCUGCCUAACUGAACAUCCAACCUGAACUUCAGUAAAUCAUUCUUUUUAAUAACAGAAAAAAAAAAGUCAUAUAUCUCUUUCCCUUUAUGUAAAUUGUUGCUGGCUAACUGUGGAGAAUUUAAGAAGCAUCACUCCUGGAAUUCAUUCGUAAAGUAUGAUCGGAAAGAGGAAACUCUGUAGCACUAUUAGGAGAGGUCAUAAUAGUUCAAUUUGGAUGAGUUAAACCAUUUGAGAGGAUAUUGUUUGUUUAUAUUCAAGAUAUGAUCAUGUUUACCUUAGCAUUUAAUGGAAAAUUCUAUUUCCUUAUCAGUUUAUCAGUAAACUAGUCAGGUUUCCUCACUACUUUACACAGUGAAGUUCUACUGGACUAAAAGGCUAUAUAUGCAGAAAGCUUUAUUUAGCAACAUCAUCAACAAGAUCAUAUAGCAAACUGUAGGAUAUCCUCAUAGUUAGAACACACUGACCUGAAGCCGCAAAAUUUCUGACCAGAGCUCUCAGUUUUUAUGACCUGAUCAGUUUCUUUCCUUUUCAGGCAAACGUCACCGGAACUUAAGGAUGAUGGUUCAACCUCGUGCUCUGAAAUUGCUUCCAUAUUGGUCCUGGACGGAGGUGACACGUUGCUUGGUAUUUGACAUCCGAUCGAAGAAGCCUUUAGACCCUUUUGCAACAGUAACUUUUCAUCAAAUUCAGCAUCUACCGGAUCUAGCAAAAUCUCAUCUCCUGAUUCAGUUUUGCGUGAGAAAGAUGGAAUGUGAUCAUAAAUCCCCUUAAGAAGACCAGAGAAGGCUGCUUUUGUUGCCAUGUUGUUAACUUAUCACUACAAAAUCUCUGUCUUUACCCUUUGAUCUUCUUCUCUCACAGAUGGACGUACUGGUGCCUCUCAGCCUUUACUUAAUCAAAUGUCUAUCAAACACUUACUUCUGAAGUUUCCUCUCGGGCAAC